UUCGGUCCGUCUAUUCUGAAGUCUAAAGCCCAGAUUGAGCAACCGAAGGGCAGAUGUGUUACGCGAUGAAUGUCGACUUCCAUCUCUUCCAUUUCUCUCUUAUCCAGAUCCGUUUCGAUGAGUAAUUUUGCUACUAAUUCCUCUCAUCAAACCUGAGAUUGAAGUCAUUCAAUGGAUUCCUUUCAUCUUCUUCUAAAAUUUUCUAUAUAUAGAACUCUUUUCAUAGCUUAUGUCUCCAUCAAAGUUCAUAAGAUUCUCUCAUUUACUCAUCACGAUGGAACCCACCGGCAACUCUACCGUCUCCGGCGACCGCAAGCCCAUCAAGAAGACCGUCGCAACCUCCGCGACUGCGAAACCAAACGGGAAGUCCACUGCUUCUUCCGCGACUGUGAUGAAACCUAACGAGACGACUGCUGUUUCAUCCGCCAAUUCGAUGAACCCAAACGCUGUUACCGCUCAAUCUUCCGCGCAUGGCGAUCAAUUCGGUUUGUGUUUGUUGAUUGAUUUGAUUUUGAUUGGUUUUGAUUCUUUACACAGGUGGGAGCUGUGAAGCCGGAAGAUUCGAGUGCCUCAGGUGUGACUCAAAAGCCAUCUCCUCCGGUGGGAUCUCCAGCUCAAGGUCAGGUCAGGUCAGGUCAUCUCAUUGUUAGUGCGGAGUUCGUUUUCUUUGAGUUACCGAGGAAGUGGAAGCCGUGGCGAGAAUAUGGAUUUCAUUGCUGUGAUGAGAUCAUGAGAGUUAUGAUUAUGAUCAUAAUCCGUUGUCUAGAUGGGAUUAGAGUUUCCGGCAUCUGAAUCACCACCGGUGAAGAGAAAAUCAUGAAGACCUGAAGAACCUACUCAUUUUAUCCAAAUCAAUCAGAGAAGUUUGUAACAGAGUUUGAUAGCUAAAGAGUUACAUUUUCCAUAACUUGAGUUUUUUUUAAACCAAGUUGGUCUCGAGCUAUCAAUUGGAAGACGUUGAGUUUCCUAAAGCACCGGUUCAUCAUUGUUGGACCAAGGCUAAGAGGAAAGAGCAACUCUCUCGGUGGAAUUGCUUACUUGGAAAUGAUGAUGAUGAUGAUUUAUGUAGAUGGUUGGGUUCAAGAGGCUAAGUGUUUAGUAUAAUUUGUAUAUGAAUAUAUUUUCUAUAAAAACUGAAAUGGUUUUAAUGUAUUUCAGCCAUUCAAAGAAAAGGUUUUAGGUGAAGCUUAAGGAAAUCAAAACUGUUUUACAAACAACGUCACUGGAAAAAAUAAUGUGGUGUGAAACAGCUGGUCAUAUUCUCAUAGAUGCUAAUCUCCGAGAUUAAGGUUGUGCGUGACAUUUGGGAAGUUAUAAAAUGCAUACCCUGAUCUGUGAUAUGUAAGAUUCAGUUUAGAUACAUGUCAUGACAUAUAUGAUUUUCAUAUUAUACGAUUCAUAUCAUAUAUUGUCAAAUUAUAUAUCUCUUGAUAUUUAACUAGGUGAAAACAUGGGUUCCGUUUCCGAACAUGUUUUGCAAUAGCGGAAAGCUAGAUUUAGAGUUGUGGUACAAUGACCAAAUGCUCUGCUAUGAGGAUGCAAAGCGUAUGAACGUUUCCAUAAGUCGUGAGAUGCCUCUAUUAACUUGAUAUCAAUGCGAAAACAAUCCUCCACUGCUUCGUUAAGGAACCAACUGAAAGGCAGGUUCGUUUAAAAAAAAAAAUUAACCGGCCUUGGGGUAUUUGAUCUGAUUUUUCAUUUGGUCAUGUGUGCUUUUCACUUAUGGCCUCCCAGGUCUAGGGCUAAUGAAGAGGGAAGCCUCACAACCCUACACAAUAUUCAUAACAUUGCUUGAUCAAUGUAAAUUACUUUUACAUACAUUACUAUAAGUUCAUAUGUAUUUAUUCCAACACAAUGAGAAGCUUACAAACCGUGAGAAAGCAAUCAUGAAAGUACAAACAAAGCAAUGACGCAAGCCGUAGUUUUCACUGGCUGUAGUCGCAAGCCGUAGUUUUCACAGUAGAUAUGACAGAUCCAGCGUGGUGGUAUGACUGGCUGUAGAACCCAAGCCGUAGUUUUCACCAAAGCAGAAGCAACAAGGAAACAGAAGAGUAAAAACAAAGUUGUGCUACUGCUUUCCCUCAUUUCCUUGCUCUCCUGUGAAAACGUAGAUAUACUUUUCGAAUGUGUUUUUUGUAGUCUCCGUAAAAUGCAUGUUUCAGUU